rnacentral:rRNA from 1 species
UACAUUAGCAUGGGAUAAUGGAAUAGGACCCUGUCCUCCUAUUUUCAGUUGGUUUUGGCAGCGCGAGGACUAGGGUAAUGAUUAAUAGGGAUAGUUGGGGGCAUUAAUAUUUAAUUGUCAGAGGUGAAAUUCUUGGAUUUAUGAAAGAUUAACUUCUGCGAAAGCAUCUGCCAAGGAUGUUUUCAUUAAUCAAGAACGAAAGUUAGGGGAUCGAAGACGAUCAGAUACCGUCGUAGUCUUAACCAUAAACGAUGCCGACCAGCGAUUAGGAGACGUUGAAUACAAAACACCACCAUCGGUGCGGUCGUCCUUGGCGUCGGUCUUUCGGGGCCGGCGCGGGGACGGCUUAGCCCGGUGGCACCGGUGAAUGACUCCCUAGCAGCUUGUGA